ACCUUCCAGACUCCUUACCCCUCAGAUCAAAAUGCUGGUCUGAGUGACUGAAAAAGGGGGGAAAAAUAAUACUGAAGUGGUCUCAUAGUUAAGCAUCUUCUAGUAGCUACAUUUUUGAAGUAAAAAUGA
rnacentral:snoRNA from 1 species